GCCCCUGUAGCUCAGCGGAUAGAGCAGCCGCCUUCUAAGCGGUUGGCCGGGGGUUCGAUUCCCUCCAGGGGCG
rnacentral:tRNA from 1 species